UACAGAGGUCCCGAGCGUUGUUCGGAUUCACUGGGCGUAAAGGGUGCGUAGGUGGUGGGAUAAGUCGGAUGUGAAAUCUCGGAGCUCAACUCCGAAACUGCAUUCGAUACUGCCGUGCUUGAGGACUGGAGAGGAGACUGGAAUUUACGGUGUAGCGGUGAAAUGCGUAGAUAUCGUAAGGAAGACCAGUGGCGAAGGCGGGUCUCUGGACAGUUCCUGACGCUGAGGCACGAAGGUCAGGGGAGCAAACGGG
rnacentral:rRNA from 1 species